CAGCCUUGUCGGCGACAAAAAUGAAAUGACUAAUCUGCUUUCUAUAUAACGUCUUAAUUAGUGUGGUGUCUUAGAACAAAGUGAAUUAAAGGAUACAAAAAACAACGAUUUGAUAAUGUGGUACAAAUUUUGUUGGAAAGUUCAAAUUUGGUUUGGUUCUAACGUUACGUUUAGUAUACUAUACUGAAUAUAGAACUCAGAACACCUUUGCUUCUUGAAAGAAUGACUUUAUUUUUAAGAGUGCUGUCUUCGUGACAUUUUCCUAAUCUGAGCUGAACAGUGGAACGCUCGUAUUUCAUCCCCUUCCUUCCUCGCAUCCACCACACUAAUCCAGAAUCAUCUCCGUCAAAUCAAGGGUCAAACAUGUAUCUCAAUUUCCCUCCCUUUAUUGACUUGUUGAUGAAAAAUGAAAUAUUAGAAUAAUUUGACGAGGUGACUAAAUGACUGAAUGAUCCAUUUUUUAAGUGCGGAGUUUCACAUCUUUGUCCAAUCCUGGUUAAGAUGUGAUGACGAAUUUAUUCAUGUACGUGGCAAAAUGCUGCCCCACCCAAACUUCAGAUUUGUUAAUCGCAGAACUGACUCACUCGUCACAAAGUGGUCACUCCCGUUAGUUCUUCAGUGUUUAAAAUUCGAGAAAAAUUUGGAAUAUAGAUUUUUACAUUCCCAAUGUGCCAGCAGAGAGAAAUCUGGGGAUGAAGAUAUAUCUACAUACCUCUCGCAUGGAAACUAAAAUAUGUUAUGUAUCGGUCCAACAUUUUUGACAAAAUAUUGGGCUUCUUCGCCAACGCUGUACCGGCCAAGCAUUCACCUUAUCAUAGCCGUUUCGCAUUGCUCGUGGAUUUCCUAAGCUGGCCGAAUUACUGAAGUGUUUGGAGAGAUGGUUCAAAACUACAAUAAAACAAAUUCCCGUAAUGGACAAUUCAAGACACAUUAGUUCUGGAGGACGCCCUGGAAGUUAAGACAUAAAUUCUCAACGCAUCUAAAUUAGGGAUACAAUUAUAAUUUCCUUUCCGUACUAUACACAUAUUUCGCCGUGUUACGUUAAUAUAUUUAAAAAUUAUUUAACUCGGCUUUCUUGUUAGAGUUGAAUAUUAUUUAAAUAGUGCAAUAAUUAAUUUAUUUAGAGUAGCGACACGAUCUGAAACACGAGAAUCUAUAUUUAUAAUAUGCAAUAUGCUGUAUUGAAUGUAGUAAAUUUAGGUCUGUCUGCAAGUCUGCAA